rnacentral:rRNA from 1 species
CCUACGGGUGGCAGCAGUGGGGAAUAUUGGGCAAUGGACGCAAGCCUGACCCAGCAAUGCCGCGUGAAGGAAGAAGGCUUUCGGGUUGUAAACUUCUUUGGCCGGGGAAGAGCAUCAGAGUGUACCCUGACCACACUCCACGGCUAACUACGUGCCAGCCGCCGCGGUAAUACGUAGGUGGCAAGCGUUCUCCGGAUUUACUGGGUGUAAAGGGCGUGUAGACGGGAAGGCAAGUCAGUUGUGAAAUCCGGAGGCUCAACCUCCGAAUUGCAUUUGAAACUGUUUUUCUUGAGUACUGGAGAGGCAGAUGGAAUUCCUUGUGUAGCGGUGAAAUGCGUAGAUAUAAGGAGGAACACCAGUGGCGAAGGCGGUCUGCUGGACAGCAACUGACGGUGAGGCGCGAAAGCGUGGGGAGCAAACAGGAUUAGAUACCCGAGUAGUC